UGGGGAUGAACACAGUCAGCAACAAGAUGGUCGAUCUUCCGGGAUUUAGAAAACAAACCAGUUACGAGUAAUUUGUAAUGAGAAAAUGGGAACAGGUGUACGGGUUAAUCGACGUGGGCUUGUGAUUGGUGACUAGACUGGUUGGAGUACUUUAAAUACCCCAGGAAACAGCAGGAUGGGAGGAAGGAGGGUGAUAUGGAGGAUUGAGGAUCAACAGGGGUGAGGACGUCGGAAAGCGGGCAAGUUGUGAAACUACAUGUUUGGACCACUUUGAGUUGAGUGAUAAAGGCAAAAGGACAUAUGGCUACAAGUGGAGCUUAGGAAUUGGAUCGGUAGUGACUGACUCUGUGGAUGUGAGGAGAUUGAAGAUAUCCCCCCUCGACAGAUAAGUGCUUUCUGUAUAUAUUGAGGAGACGGUGUAGCUAUGCUGGGAAACUAAUAGUGCUGUGAAUGUGGCUCUACACAUGGUUGGUCCUCUUCACCUUGCUCGCUGACUCCCUCGACUGGUAAAUAAGUUAGCCCUGUGUGACGGCGGACUGGCAUCUCUUAUGCGAGCUGGUUAUUUCAUGACAUAAUAAGGUAGCUGUGUGACUCCCCACUGUGGAGUGUUGUCUUGUGCCCACAGAGCCUGGAGAGCUGUUGAUGUAUAAAGUUAAGCUGCCCCAUCACUGUUACGCUCUAACCGUCGGAGUCUGGAGAGCCGUUGUGUAACAAGCUAAACUGCUUCAUCGCUGUUUCACCCCAACCGCCUGAGCCUGGAGAGCCAUUGUUGUAUCCAGUUAUACUGCCCCAUUGCUGUUACGCUCCAACUGCCUGGUGAGCCGUUGUUGUACCAAGUUGACCUCCCCCUUUGUUAUUGUUGAGCUCUAAUUGGCCGGCGAGUCUGCCAGCUCCACCGAAUUGACCUGAAAUUGGUGUAUCCCUCCCUGCACCAGCAGAGCGUAGAGAAGGACGUGCUGUAUCCAGGCCAGCCAUUUGUUGCUGUCUUAAUCCAGCAGAGACUGGUAGCCCUUCCUAACAGAACAAGUUACCUGUAGAUUGUUGACCGACAUCUGUGGAGACCAUUCGAUCUCCCUUUUAUACCACGCCGUCUGGCAAUUACUGCCCUGCAUCAGUGGAAUUCAAUAAAUGGUUCACUGCUUGAAGUCGACUUAUUUGUGCAGCCCCCCCUUCUGCAGACUUCAAAGCUCCAUCCUUUUAGACUUUUCUUGCAAAGAUAUUUAAUAAAGGAAACUUCAUUGUUUUAAACAAUCUCCUUCUUGCCCUGGUCUUUGUCGGGUAAGAUACGUGGUGCUCCCUUGGGGGGGGAAGAGAAGAGCCAGUGGCGGAAAGCGCCCCCUGCCUGUGACACUGCUGUUCCUGAACCCUGCAACUCCAAACCAUGAAGUGAGGCAGUAGUUCAAAAUGUUUUCAAUGGUUCCCCUAUAGAAGGUGGUAAGGAGAUGGUUGGGGAGACCUGCCUUUCUAAGUCACCCAGAAAUUUGAGAAGUGCACAUAUCCAAACCAGUAACCAUGGGGUACUGCACAGAUACAUUAGAGUUUACGUGCUCGCUCUAUAGCAUUUAAAUCUGGGGACUCUGAAGCCUACAAAGUCAAGAUACGAUGUUCGCAAAAGCAUUAAAUCUGCCAAAAGCAUCCUAGAUUCAGUGACUGGAAACUUACUGUUACUGAAAAUGUGGCAAGGCCUAGUACACAUCACCAUAGGCGCGGGAAGUGGGGGUGCUGAGGGUGCUGCAGCACCCCCUGUUUUUUUUUCGGUGGGCAACUGUUUAACUGUUGGAAAUAAUAGUAAA